CUUCCCAGAGGCCAGGGACCAAUGAUGGCACUCAGAAAGAGUCUUUUAUCUGACUGUAGUGUGCUGGAAUAUCUGAAUCAACAGGGAGAAGAAAAAAACAGACCUGCAACAAGUUGAGAACUGCUAUCAAAAGAGGUGACAUUAAAUGAUGGCGGUGGGAGACCUGAAAAGGCACGCCAGAGCGUCAGUGAGAGAAGAGAGUGACCAGAAAGCAUGACGGCACUGAGAGAGUGUUAAUGAUUUGGAGUGCUUUCAUUUAUUUAAAACGUUUUCUUUAU